rnacentral:rRNA from 1 species
UACGUAGGGGGCAAGCGUUGUCCGGAAUCAUUGGGCGUAAAGAGCGUGUAGGCGGCUCGGUAAGUCCGCUGUGAAAGUCCAGGGCUCAACCCUGGAAUGCCGGUGGAAACUGUCGAGCUAGAGUCCGGAAGAGGCGAGUGGAAUUCCUGGUGUAGCGGUGAAAUGCGCAGAUAUCAGGAGGAACACCAAUGGCGAAGGCAGCUCGCUGGGACGGUACUGACGCUGAGACGCGAAAGCUAGGGGAGCAAACAGG